rnacentral:rRNA from 1 species
GGCUACCGCUAUUGGAGUUCGAUUAAGCCAUGCGAGUCGCGAGUCUUAGGGACUCGGCGUACCGCUCAGUAACACGUGGGUAACCUGCCCUAUGCUGGGGGAUAACCUCAGGAAACUGAGAAUAAUACCCCAUAGUUCACCACGCCUGGAACGGUGGGUGGACCAAAGCUCCGGCGGCAUAGGAUGGGCCUGCGGCGUAUCAGGUUGUAGGGGGUGUAAUGUACCCUCUAGCCCUCUACGCGUACGGGUGUUGAGAGACAUCGCCCGGAGAUGGAUUCUGAGACACGAAUCCAGACCCUACGGGGUGCAGCAGGCGCGAAAACUUGGCAAUGCGAGAAAUCGUGACCAGGGAACUCCAAGUGCAUCGGGUAAGACCGAUGCUUUUCUUGACUCUUCAAAGGUCUUGGAAUAAGGGGUGGGUAAGGACGGUGCCAGCCGCCGCGGUAAUACCGGCGCCCCAAGUGGUAGUCGCUUUUAUUGGGCCUAAAACGUCCGUAGCCGGUCUGGUACAUUCGUGGGUAAAUCAACCAGCUCAACUGGUUGAAUUCUGCGAGCACGGCCAGACUUGGGACCGGGAGAGGUGUGGGGUACUCUCAGGGUAGGGGUAAAAUCCUGUCAUCCUGAGAGGACCACCUGUUGCGAAGGCGCCACACUAGAACGGAUCCGACGGUCAGGGACGAAGCCUAGGGGCACGAACCGGAUUAGAUACCCGGGUAGUCCUAGGUGUAAACGCUGUGGACUUGAUGUUGGGGGCGCUCCGAGCGCACUCAGUGUCGAAGCGAAGGUGAUAAGUCCACUGCCUGGGGAGUACGGUCGCAAGGCUGAAACUUAAAGGAAUUGGCGGGGAGCACCGCAACCUGAGGAUUGUGCGGUUU